UAUGAGCAGUUUGAGCACACAUAUAAUUACCUCUCUGUUAGUAAACCAAAGGCUUGCUGCUCAGGAAAACGGGAAAAAUGAACACAACUUCAAUGACUGCUUUAGUUUUUUGACAUCUUAAUUAUUUUUCCAUCAUUUAGUCCUCAAGUGAGUAGAAAAUUAGAUCAUCAAACUGAAAUCAAACACUUGCCACAUCAAAAGCUUUCAUUGUACAACCGUCAGUUUUACCCAGAAGCCCUUUAGAUCUCCCCCCCCCGCCGCCACUACAAACAGCAUUUACAACUCUGUUUGAGCGGGAGCAAACCGAAGUCCACAGUUUCCCAAACAUGUGCAGCCUCAGCAUGAGCAGAGUCGCUGUGUUUUGUUGAGUAAAGACUGCUCAUAGUAACUGUGUCUCGAUACUGAACCAAAUGAAACCAGGGCGAGUUUCACAAACAGGAAGAAUGACUUUUCGAAUGCACCUCUCAGUCUGAUAUUGCAAACUCGAGAUGGCUCAAGUGCAGCUUCAAGCUCUAAAGUUACAACAACUACUGAGAGAUGAGAUGUGAAAGAUGAGAUGUGAGAGAUGUGAGAGAUGAGAGAUAUGUGAGAGAUGAGAUAGAUGAGAUGUGAGAGAUGAGAGAGAUGCGAGAGAUGUGAUGUGAGAGAUGAGAGAGAUCUGAGAGAUGAGAUGUGAGAGAUGAGAGAGAUGAGAGAGAUGUGAGAGAUGAGAUGUGAGAGAUGUGAGAGAUGAGAUGAGAGAGAUGUGAGAGAUGAGAUGUGAGAGAUGAGAGAGAUGUGAGAGAUGAGAUGUGAGAGAUGAGAUGAGAUGUGAGAGAUGAGAUGUGAGAGAUGUGAGAGAUGAGAUGUGAGAGAUGAGAUGAGAGAGAUGAGAGAGAUGUGAGAGAUGAGAUGUGAGAGAUGAGAUGUGAGAGAUGAGAUGUGAGAGAUGAGAGAUGUGAGAGAUGAGAUGUGAGAGAUGAGAGAGAUGAGAUGUGAGAGAUGAGAGAGAUGUGAGAGAUGAUAUGAGAUGUGAGAGAUGUGAGAGAUGAGAGAGAUGUGAGAGAUGAGAUGUGAGAGAUGUGAUGUCUGAGAACUCACAAACUAGAAGGUUGUUGUAUCUCUUUUUAUAUCAUUAAAGAUGGAUUAUUAUGAUCCAAACACAGGCUUAAUUAGACUGCACAGAUUUCCUGUUUACAGUAACAGGUUCUGACAGCAGGUUGACAGGAUGGGGGCUUUCCCAGCUGAAAGUGCCUUUUACUCAUGAGUUUCGGCGUCAUUACUCCAUCUCUGGUAAUUCACGGUACAUGUGUUAACCGUGUUAGGGGACGGCGGGGUACAGGGCAGCGUGGGUCUGCUUCUGAGGGACCAGAAGGUUUUCCUCGGGGGGGUUGUUCUGUCUUGGAGGAGUGCUAAAAAAAAAAAAAGUUUGUUUUAACUAAGACAUUCCGGGUCAUUGUUUUCCCACAGAGCGCGCCGGAAUCUGUCAGGAAAAAACAAUCACCCCUCUAAAACCAAAAAAAAGAAGAGUAUUGCACGUUGAUUCAUUCUGCAUUGCAGCUAUUCUAGUGGCAUGAUUUAGAAUAGCUCCUAAUAAAGUGGCAGUAACAGACUGUCUGAUGUGAGCUGUAACUGUUUGCAUUGGAAAGAAGACACCGCUAAAUAUGAGAUGUUUGUUUUGGAGAUCACAGCUUCCUGGGUCCUUCAGCAGAGUAAACAUCACACUCGCUCUGCUCUCUCACUCCGUGCUUUGAUGUGACUUUUUCUCUAAAUUGUAUUCUGUUUGGCUGCAUGCUGCCUUUGUCGUCUUUUCCACUGUCUGGUGCUGUGUGCAGUCCUCUUGUGGUGUGUUGAUGGUUUGUCAUCCUUUGUCAUUGCUCUAAUUGCUCUGUUUUUGCAUGUUGAUUGUUUUUCUUUCUUUUUCCUUUGUUUUUGUUUUUCCCCUCAUUCCUGAGUGUGACUAUGCAUGUUUUAUGUGCAGCUUGUUAUUCAAAGCAGUUUUUCUCCUUGUAUAAGUGUCAUUGUGUGCAGAUCGUCAUGGAGGCAUCCCGUGUUGUCUCCAUGGGUAUUUGGUUAGUGUCACUGAUGCAUUACAGCCUUACACCCACACACCCAUACAGGAAGUCAGAGCUCUCCAGCUGCACUCAGGCCUUUUGGAUGUCUUUCUCUUUUCUUUUUUUUUCGGU
ensembl:lncRNA